GACAAUAUGAAGGUCAGGCUGAAGACCUUACCCGAUUAGCUGAGAGGUGGUGCAUGGCCGUCGUCAGUUCGUACUGUGAAGCAUCCUGUUAAGUCAGGCAACGAGCGAGACCCACGUCCACAGUUGCCAGCAUACCCGUCCGGGGUGAUGGGUACACUGUGGAGACCGCCGCUGCUAAAGCGGAGGAAGGAGUGGGCAACGGUAGGUCAGUAUGCCCCGAAUCUCCCGGGCUACACGCGGGCUACAAUGGUUGGUACAAUGGGCAUCUACCCCGAAAGGGGAAGGAAAUCUCUUAAAGCCAAUCGUAGUUCGGAUUGAGGGCUGCAACUCGCCCUCAUGAAGCUGGAAUCCGUAGUAAUCGCGUUUCAACAGAACGCGGUGAAUACGUCCCUGCUCCUU
rnacentral:rRNA from 1 species